rnacentral:lncRNA from 1 species
CUCCUUUGAAUAAACCUGCCUACCACCAAGAACUCAUACAUGACUUUGUUUUCAUUGUAUCAAAGUCAUGUGUCCACAGUCUGAGCACCAGCAACUCACUUCUUCCUUAGACGUCUCUAAAGUUGGAAAGAUUUUGAGGGACAAUAUGGUUUCUUUCAACCCACCCCAAUGUUAUGAAUGAGAUCAUCAGACCAACAGCAAACACCUAGAAGCCUCAGGACAACAAAGAUGUUUUCUCAGACAUCACUGAGCUGUACAUUGUGAACAAAUUCAGGGGGAAGCAGCAGAUACUGGAGAACCUUCUUGCUCCGCUUCUACCAUCUAUUGCCUGUGAGACAUGAGGAAAUCAGUCAACUUCUCUUCUUUUUGGACCCAUUAUUUCCUGAAACAAAAUGAAAGGCACAGGAACAACUGUUCUUCAUGGUGACUGCUGUGAAACCAACAGGAUGGCCUCUUUUCUAUUUAGUCCUAAGAGUGAGCAUAAGGUAAGCAUUCGUAAGAUUUUACUGAAACUUUUGGAGUAUAAAAAGGAAAAUGCUACACAGAAUAUAAUUACAACUAUUCAAGCACAGGCCCAUCCCAGAGCCUCUUACCAAGUUGACUCUCCUCUUUGUCUUUCUUUUCUGCCUUCACAUGGCUUCAGACAGCUCACCUUCCAACCACUGGAAGUGUUUACAGCAUCUCCACAUCUCUCCACAAGGUGGAGUUCAAGGCCAAAUUUUUCACUAGCCCCAGAUACUGGAAGGAGUAUUUUUUUCUUCAUUGUAUUCAAUGUAAGGCCUGCCUCCUAGGUCUUUAUUUCCUAUUCGCACAUUAAAUCUAACAGUGGCAACGUAUUCCCUGUGGAGGAAGUUCUGUCUAGGCCUAAAGCAGUGUGGUCUAGCUUUACGGUUUGAUAAAGACAAUCACACAAUAUCCAAUAUAUUUCCUACAUCACAUGUAGGCCAUCAACAGUCUGAUCAAGGUUGGGCUAUGUCAAAUCAAACACAGCUUCUAGAUAUCAAGUGAUUAUAAACUCUGGAGGUUCAGUCUCACUCAUAGCACCUGCCUUAGCCUGUUUUCUGUUGCUUAUAACAAAAUACCUGAAAAUUUAUUUUUUUUAAAAUUAUUUCCUACAGUUCUGGAGUCUGGGAAGUUGAGGAUUGAGGGGCCACAUCUGGUGAGGGCCUUCUUGAUGGUAGAAACUCUGCAGUCCUGAGGUAGCGCAGGGUAUCACAUGGAAGGGGCUAAGUAUGCUAACAUGGUAGCUUAGGUCUCUCUUUCUCUUCUUAUAAAGCCACCAUUUCUACUUCUAUGAUAAUCCAUCAACAGAUUAAUCCAUUCACAAGGCCAGAACCCUAUGAUUCAAUCACUGUACCUCUGAAAGGCCAUACCUAUGAAUACUGCCACAUAGGAGAUCAAAUUUCAACAUAAGUUUUGGAGGAAAUAUUCAUAGCAGUUUCUGUGUAUUUGUGUGCAUGCAUGCACACAUGUGUGUAGAGACACAGAGAGAGGACUAGAGAGGCAGAGAUACCUAUACAUAUAUACACCUGUACAUUAAAUGCAAUUAUGUACAUAUAUGCAAAGUUGUAAAAAUGGAACCAUGGUAUAUAUCCUCCUUUAUAAAUUUCUCCACUUAAUAGAACGUUAACAUGUUUGUAGGUUCUUUUAUGCAGAGUUACUUCUUUAUAUAAUAUUCCAUUGUGUGUAGCAAAUCCUUGUUGAUACAUAUUGGGACAACUUUCAAAGUUUGGUUAUUAUGAACAGUGCAACCAAGAACAUUGUCAUACACAUAUUGUUAUACCCGAGAGAGUUAGAAGGAAAGUGCCACACUCUGAGUUCCAGUUGAGAGUCCUUUAUUACCGGUGACCGAGAGUCAGCUCCUGCUCAAAAUCUCUCGUCCCCUUCUGAUUUCCUUUUAUACCUAACCUAGAAGAGAGGGGAGGGGGACUCUAGCUGAAGCGGAAUUUUACAGAAGCAGAACAAGCAAGUUAGUAGGAGGAAGCUGGUAACCAGGAGGCAGGAGGUUCCCAUAGUUGCUGGUUACUAAGAGUAUUUCCAUACAGUCAUCAAGGAGGGUAGCAGGGGGGACUUUCCAUACAAUCAAUGGGGGGGGGUUUCACAAUAGCAGGUAGACUUGCCAAGCAGGAUAUCGUUACAGCAGUUACAGGUACUGAGAACAGGUGACCCGAACCUCAGCAGUUCAAGGCUCUGAAUACAGCUGACCCAGUAAUGCACCUGAGGGGGCCAUGGCAGGGAGGGCGAAGCUAAGCUGGAGCUUGUCAGGCUUAUUUCUAAGAUGAAGUCAGGUUAGUUCAUUUCAAUAUAUUGUGUACUUAUACAUGAAUUUUAAUAGGAUGAGCUGUUAAUAUAAAUAUUUAUUUCUUAUCUUUCCAGGUAAAAUAUUGUUGGGUACUUCCUUUGGAGUUCUAGACUCAGGAUGAGAUUACAGAAGAUAUGCUCAACAUCCUCCUUUGACCUGGUCCCAGUUUCACCAUAUUUGAUAGAUGCUUUACAGUCUCUG